CACUCAGACCAAAUAAACUAGCAAACCAACUCAUCCACACACGUUGCGCCGCCUCCGCAUCGACGCCUGCCCACCCGCCUGCACCUGCGAGCCGCGUGGCACAGGAUGGCUGCCCACCGCUCGCCUGCCCGCCCCGUACGGCUUCCCUCCCACCGGCCACGCCCGCCACUACUGGCUGCCCAGCUCCAGACAUCCACUGCUUGGUUGCCCACCUUCGACAGUCAGCCACGCUUGCGCCGCCCUAGGACGUCAGCUGCGCCGCCCCAGGACGCGUCCACCCCCGCUGUCUGCCUGGAUGCCCUCCACCGUCGCAGCCGUGUUCCGGUGCUUGAAGUGCGAGCAGAUGGAUCCUGGCACAGCCAGCUGGAAUCAAGCGCGGGCACCAGUGGUGGUGGGAUCCCAGCCUGGGUGGUGGCAACGAUUGGAUCCUAGCCUAGGCGGCGACGACGGCGAGAUCUCGACAUAGGGGCGGCGGCGGCGGCGGGAUCCAGGUGCGUAGUUCAUGGAUUUCAUUUGGGUAACCCGCUCAGGUUUUGCUCAUAUGUCCCUUCGUUCUUUCCUUUCCCCAAAUUGAUAUGGUUCUUUGAUCUAUGAUGCCUGCAAUUUUCUGUGAAUUAAUUUCCCCAAACUAAGAACUUAUAAAGGUCCUUUACCAUGUGAUUUGCUACUGCUAACAUGUUACAUGGAGAUGAAGUCUGGAGUAAAACACUCAUUCUUGCUUUUGUGGUUUUCUGUCUUGUUAGGUUACUACUGUGUCAAUUUCAGCGGAGAUGUGAUGCAAUUCUUUUUUUAGUUUUUACCCCUUGACAGGCUGGAUGUUGUGUGUCGUUGGCUUUGGUUUAGCUAUAGAAUAGCUCAAGAACAAAAACUUGAAAAAUGCUAUGCAAGGCAAUUUGUAGGUGAGCUGUACUGGACUAAUUUUGGUGGAUGUAGGUGUGCUGUACUGUGCAUUAGAUAAAUGGCUACCAUAUGAUUUGGAAUAUAUAGUAAUUUUUUUUAACAUUUUCCCACUAAGGCCUUGCACUACUAUGGUAUUUGUAUAGAUCAUGCAUAGAACUAAUGGUUGAUAAAGUCAUAGGUUUGUUACUUUCUUUCAGUGGCUAUGUUUGACACUAUAGAACCUACCUAAUCUGACACCAUGUUCUGGAUGUCCAAGAUAAAAUUCUUCAAAGGGUACGACAGUGUACUCUUGUCUUCUUAGUUUAAGUGGUAUCAUUUAUGUGCUGCAACCAAAGUUUAACAUAAUUCCGAUGAAAUUCUGUUGGUCCCAAUAUGCUGAAAUUUGAUUAGUAGUUCUGGACUUCCACUAAUUCUGCCAAUUUUUGGUACACUGUAUCAACAUUUAUUAAGAGUUGUGAUGGUUGUGCUUUUACAUCUCUGUUACUUCUUCCAUUUUAGGUGGUGUUUUCCCAAGCCUGUAAGUCUGUUUAUGUACCUAUCAUAUAUCUGAAUUUUAGACUUACUAGAUCAUUUACGUUAUAGAUAGAUCAAUGUCUAUGGCUAUCAUACUUUUGUAUUUACUUGAGGCAGGAAGAAGUAUGGAUUAGAAAACGAGCAAGCUGCCAGAGAGGGUAUAUACAGAGUUUAAAGCAUCUUUCAUUUUUUUUCUUUUGUCCUUUUGUUUAUAGGUUGCCAAUUUCCUACCAUUCUUUUUAUCCUUUAUUCCUUUUAGGCAAUCAGAUAUUGUCUCCACCUAUGCAUGUACAUGUAGUGUAGCAAGUAGCAGCAUCAGACAAACACUUUUUGUUUAGAAAGCAUGUUUUGACUAUUCUUUGGCUGCAUGAUUCAGCAAUAUCAGUAUUUUUGGCAUAGGUCUGUUAGUCCUUGAUUCAAGACACAAGGCUGCUUGUACAACAUUUUCUCAUAGGAGAAUGUUUAUCCCUACUCUAAUUCUAUAGAGAAUUUUGGCUAUGAUUGCCUAACUAUUUCCUUUUUCUGGAUUCAAGCAUUAUGUUACUGUAGUUUGCUACCAUUGCAGUUAGAAACCAACAGUUUAUCUGCACAACUGUUUGAAGCCUCAGUGCUAACUACUGUUACAUCCUUUUAUUGUCAGGUACUUGGAAUGCCUCUAGAGAAUGCAUAUGCUGUGGAGAGCUGCUGUAUCUUUCUCAUGUUCUUUUAAAAAUGCCAAAAGUGGAAAUUGACGUCAUAGAGUGUUGUUUUUACAUGUACUGUUGUUAUUCUAUAGUAUUAUGACACUCUAGCAGUGAAGCCAUGAAUUAGCAUAGAAGACUAGCAGUUCACAUCAUGUUUACAACCUUACUACUUUGCUUGGAUGGUUGCUAAAGACAUCAUGUUUACAACCUUACUACUGUGCUUGGAUGGUUGCUAAAGAAAGUUUCAUGCCUCUUGCAGUUUUUGAUUGUCUUGGAACAAAAUAUGACAGAAGAGAGCAACUUAAGACUAGUCUGAUGACAAAGAACAAUAGGCAAUGUAAGUUUGAUGCCUCAUCUUAUUUCUUCCUCGCCGGUGAUAAG
rnacentral:lncRNA from 1 species